UACGAAGGGGGCUAGCGUUGUUCGGAGUUACUGGGCGUAAAGGGCGCGUAGGCGGCGCACCAAGUCAGGCGUGAAAGCCCUGGGCUCAACCCGGGAAUUGCGCUUGAGACUGGUGUGCUUGAGUACGGGAGAGGAUAGUGGAAUUCCCAGUGUAGAGGUGAAAUUCGUAGAUAUUGUGAAGAACACCGGUGGCGAAGGCGGCUAUCUGGACCGUAACUGACGCUGAGGCGCGAAAGCGUGGGGAGCAAACAGG
rnacentral:rRNA from 1 species